rnacentral:rRNA from 1 species
GUAGGGGACAAGCGUUGUCCGGAAUUAUUGGGCGUAAAGGGCGCGUAGGCGGCCUUCUAAGUCGGACGUGAAAUCCCUCGGCUUAACCGAGGAACUGCGUCUGAUACUGGAAGGCUUGAAUCCGGGAGAGGGAUGUGGAAUUCCAGGUGUAGCGGUGAAAUGCGUAGAUAUCUGGAGGAACACCGGUGGCGAAGGCGGCAUCCUGGACCGGCAUUGACGCUGAGGCGCGAAAGCUAGGGGAGCAAACGGGAUUAGAUACCCCGGUAGUCCUAGCCCUAAACGAUGAGUGCUUGGUGUGGCGGGUAUCGAUCCCUGCCGUGCCGAAGCUAACGCAUUAAGCACUCCGCCUGGGGAGUACGGUCGCAAGGCUG